UUAACUUCAUUUGGAAAUGGAGGCUAAUUGGUCAACUUGCUUCCCGUCUCUACAUCUUCUGUUCUAAAAGGGAAAAUAGAUCCCCUUUCCCUUUCUAUGCUCUAUCGUGGUAGUCUUGGAAGUUUGGCUGUAUACCAAAUCGGUGGCAUGCCCUGCACCGAAGCUUUCGAGGAGAUGCUAGGCCAGCUCUGAGCGAGGAGGGGACGGGCGUUCAAGCCGCCCAUCUUGCGCCGCCCACCGGCGAGGUCGCAUCUUGCCGGUUUGGAUUCGGUGAGGCAGACCGGCCACCAAGGAGGCCACAGGAGAAUAUGAGCGAUAACUACUUGUUAGCUUCCUCAGUGCUCUGCUCUCCUACUCGUGGCACCAGGAGUGAGAUAUGUGUCGUCGGGCUGGACGACCAUUUUCUCUGUCGUCGUCUGAGCGGAGCAGAAUGUGCGGCUAUGAAUCUCUUACUACUCUCCCAAUACACUCUGCAUUCUCCUCUUGCCUGGCAGUAUAUCUGUACUUUAGAGUCUGCAUGUGGAGGCGAGCUAUGGGCUUCCUCAUUGUUGGUGUUGUCGGCUUCCAGCUAUGUAAGGUGCUACGGAUUUGAAUCAUUCCUACUUCCUCCAUAGCGGCUGAUUGUCUACAGGUCUUAGAGUCUUGUUGUUCUCGAAAAGUGGUGAUAUCAUAUCUUAGAAGAAGUCUGAUGCCUUACCUGAUUUGCUUGGUUUCCAUGCGCCAUUCCACAGAGGCAGCAACUCAGAAGGUUUGCCUGGCAUCAUGACAUCUGUCAUAGUUUUGGCUGAUUUGCGUUGCAUCAUUUGUUUCAUCAUGGCGGCAACUCAGAAGCCAUUCAGCACGGUUAUGGAAAAAUCUGGAGUGGAAACAAGGUCUUUAGAGCAGACAAUGCUAUAUGACGAAGCACAUGUCUUACGGGUUACGGAUAGCUCCUCAGAGGAGGAUUCAGAGACAGAUGACCAGUCGUAUCCCCCCUAGGUGCAUGCUCUAACUUGG